UACGGUGGGAGCUAGCGUUGUUCGGAAUUACUGGGCGUAAAGCGCACGUAGGCGGCUUUGUAAGUUAGAGGUGAAAGCCCGGGGCUCAACCCCGGAAUUGCCUUUAAGACUGCAUCGCUUGAAUCCAGGAGAGGUGAGUGGAAUUCCGAGUGUAGAGGUGAAAUUCGUAGAUAUUCGGAAGAACACCAGUGGCGAAGGCGGCUCACUGGACUGGUAUUGACGCUGAGGUGCGAAAGCGUGGGGAGCAAACAGG
rnacentral:rRNA from 1 species